rnacentral:rRNA from 1 species
AUUGAACGCUGGCGGCAUGCUUUACGCAUGCAAGUCGAACGGUAACAGGCCUUCGGGUGCUGACGAGUGGCGAACGGGUGAGUAAUGCAUCGGAACGUGCCCAGAGGUGGGGGAUAACGCAGCGAAAGCUGUGCUAAUACCGCAUGUGAUCUGAGGAUGAAAGCGGGGGACCAGGCAGCAAUGUUUGGCCUCGCGCCUUUGGAGCGGCCGAUGUCAGAUUAGGUAGUUGGUGGGGUAAAGGCCUACCAAGCCGACGAUCUGUAGCUGGUCUGAGAGGACGACCAGCCACACUGGGACUGAGACACGGCCCAGACUCCUACGGGAGGCAGCAGUGGGGAAUUUUGGACAAUGGGCGCAAGCCUGAUCCAGCAAUGCCGCGUGCGGGAAGAAGGCCUUCGGGUUGUAAACCGCUUUUGUACGGAACGAAAAGGCUCUGGCUAAUACCUGGGGCUGAUGACGGUACCGGAAGAAUAAGCACCGGCUAACUACGUG